GGUUAAGUUAAUAAGGGCGCACGGUGGAUGCCUUGGCACUAGAAGCCGAAGAAGGACGUGACAAACGACGAAAUGCUUUGGGGAGCUGUAAGUAAGCGACGAUCCAGAGAUGUCCGAAUGGGGGAACCCACUAGCUGAUGGCUAGUACUCCUAUCUGUUAAGGAUAGGUAGAGGAAGACGCAGUGAACUGAAACAUCUAAGUAGCUGCAGGAAGAGAAAGCAAAAGCGAUUGCCUGAGUAGCGGCGAGCGAAACGGCAGGAGGGCAAACCGAAGAGUUUACUCUUCGGGGUUGUAGGACUGCAAUGUGGACAUAAAGAAUAUAGAAGAAUGACAUGGGAAGGUCAGCCAAAGAGAGUAAGAGCCUCGUAUUCGAAAUAGUCUUUAUACCUAGCAGUAUCCUGAGUACGGCGGGACACGAGAAAUCCCGUCGGAAUCUGGGAGGACCAUCUCCCAACCCUAAAUACUCUCUAGUGACCGAUAGUGAACCAGUACCGUGAGGGAAAGGUGAAAAGCACCCCGGGAGGGGAGUGAAAUAGAACCUGAAACCGUGUGCCUACAACAAGUUCGAGCCCGUUAAUGGGUGAGAGCGUGCCUUUUGUAGAAUGAACCGGCGAGUUACGAUAUGAUGCGAGGUUAAGUUGAAGAGACGGAGCCGUAGGGAAACCGAGUCUGAAUAGGGCGCAAUAGUAUUAUGUCGUAGACCCGAAACCAUGUGACCUACCCAUGAGCAGGUUGAAGGUGAGGUAAAACUCACUGGAGGACCGAACCAGGGCACGUUGAAAAGUGCUUGGAUGACUUGUGGGUAGCGGAGAAAUUCCAAACGAACUUGGAGAUAGCUGGUUCUCUCCGAAAUAGCUUUAGGGCUAGCGUCGACAUUAAGAUUCUUGGAGGUAGAGCACUGUUUGGGUGAGGGGUCCAUCCCGGAUUACCAAUCUCAGAUAAACUCCGAAUGCCAAAGAAUUAUGGUCGGCAGUCAGACUGCGAGUGCUAAGAUCCGUAGUCGAAAGGGAAACAGCCCAGACCACCAGCUAAGGUCCCAAAAUAAUUGUUAAGUGGAAAAGGAUGUGGGGUUGCACAGACAACUAGGAUGUUAGCUUAGAAGCAGCUAUUCAUUCAAAGAGUGCGUAAUAGCUCACUAGUCGAGUGACCCUGCGCCGAAAAUGUACCGGGGCUAAAACAAUUUACCGAAGCUGUGGAUACCUUUAUAGGUAUGGUAGGAGAGCGUUCUAUGUGUGGAGAAGGUGUACCGUGAGGAGCGCUGGAACGCAUAGAAGUGAGAAUGCCGGUAUGAGUAGCGAAAGACAGGUGAGAAUCCUGUCCACCGUAAGACUAAGGUUUCCAGGGGAAGGCUCGUCCGCCCUGGGUUAGUCGGGACCUAAGGAGAGACCGAAAGGUGUAUCCGAUGGACAACAGGUUGAUAUUCCUGUACUAGAGUAUGUAGUGAAGGAGGGACGCAGUAGGCUAACUAAAGCGUGCGACUGGAAGUGCACGUCUAAGCAGUGAGGUGUGAAUUGAGUUAAAUGCUUAAUUCU
rnacentral:rRNA from 1 species